UCUAUAACAUAGAAUUUUAUCCCUAAGAAGCCAAAAUUUCCUAUUAUUCACUCCUCCUCUCAAAAUCAAAACCCUAACUCAUCCCCAAAGAUCAAGAACUCAUCCCUAAGAUCAAGAAUUUCAAGAAACAGACCAAGAUCCGGGUUUCAUCUUUCAAAUCUUAUAAUGUAAGGGUCUGAGGUUCAGUCUAGAGGUCCUGCUAAGUAGUAGAGUUAUUCAUACAGAAGUGAAAUGUGCAGUUGGUGAGCCUUCUUUAUGCCAGAAGGCCUAUUUCUUUUCAGUCACUUGUUAUUUAUUUUGGUUUAGGUCCACUAGGGACCUUGUCCCAGUUUCAGACAGUUCUGUUAAUUUUCAUAUGUAUUAGAGAUUUCGCACACAGAAACAAAUGUUGUCUCGAUGUUGAUGGAUCUUCUUUCGUAUUGAUAUGCUUAACUUAGAACAUGACCAUUCCAUUUGCAUAUGAAUGGUGUAUGUGAUUGCAAGUUAGAAGGACUCUCUGGCCUUCAAGGUUCGGGAUGUCUGUCACGGUCAGGGCCCCGAUUAGGGUUGUGACAAUUACAUACAUAUAGAUAGAAGGCAAAAGAAACAUGAGAAAAGAAUCUUAAAAUUAAAAAAAAAGUAACAAUGUCCUAUAUAUUCUAAUUCAUAAUUAAGUGCUGGCGUUCAUGAUUUGCACUAAAAUUUCUCUCAAUAGAUUUUGUAGUACAAGUGAUGGUAGAUAAUAAUGGAAAGAAAGAAUGUUUCUACUAUCCCAAAGAGG